rnacentral:rRNA from 1 species
GUCUAAGGCCAUACCACCCUGAACAUGCACGAUCUCAUUUUAUCUCGGAAUCUAAGUAGGGUUGGGCUUGGUUUAGUACCUGGAUGGGAGAAGGAGAGAGAAAGAGGGGAUACCUGGGAGCCAUGCUUU